rnacentral:rRNA from 1 species
UACGUAGGGACCAAGCGUUGUUCGGAUUUACUGGGCGUAAAGGGCGCGUAGGCGGCAGAUCAAGUCAGCUGUGAAAUCUCCGAGCUUAACUCGGAACGGUCAGCUGGUACUGUUUUGCUAGAGUACAGAAGGGACAAUCGGAAUUCUUGGUGUAGCGGUGAAAUGCGUAGAUAUCAAGAGGAACACCUGAGGUGAAGACGGGUUGCUGGGCUGAUACUGACGCUGAGGCGCGAAAGCUAGGGUAGCAAACGGG